GUGGGGUAAUUUUCCGCAAUGGGCGAAAGCCUGACGGAGCAAUGCCGCGUGGAGGUGGAAGGCCUACGGGUCGUCAACUUCUUUUCUCGGAGAAGAAACAGUGACGGUAUCUGAGGAAUAAGCAUCGGCUAACUCUGCGCCAG
rnacentral:rRNA from 1 species